rnacentral:lncRNA from 1 species
CCGCCAUGGCGGGUGGGUGAAAGACCCGAGCUAACAUGGGGUUAGUUCGUUAAAUUACAAUAAAGCCUCGUGCAGUUUGCAGCAAGCUCUCGAAUCCGCCUGGUGAUUGGGGUGACCGCGAACCUGGCCUGAGACCCCGGAUACUUGAGUUUUCGGGGGUCUAACAUUUUGGGGGCUCGUCCGCGAUUUGCGACCACCCUUCACCUGAGUGGAUUCGAUCUUGGAGGGGGUCAGGGGUCUUUUCUUGAUUCUCUGAGCACGUGGCGCCACCUCAACUAUGAUCAGCAGAUGCACCCGGAGGACAGACUGCCACUCUGAGGACACCCAGGACCCAGGAGGUACAGACUCGGGCCAAGGACACUUGGACCCGCCUCAGUUAGCCGCCGAGUUCUGCCGCCGUCUUCCCGGCGCCAUUGCCUUAUGAGCAGCGUGGGCGGAUUGGGUUGGCGUCUGUUCUUUCCUGUCUAUUCUGUGUUAUCAUCAUUGGUUUUCAAUUCAGGAUCCACCACGCCACCCCCUUUCUAUCCCCACCUGCGGGUCUGAGGCAUGCCCAGUAGGACUGUUUCUGCCCCAGCUGCCGUUAUGGCUGUUUCCCUGCUCUGGGGGAACAUGGCUACAAGGCCGAGAUCUGCUACCCGUCUUUCUGUGCUCCACACACAUGGUAUGCAGGGGGGCCGCAGGAGUCUUUUUCCCACCCCUGGAUUGGCCAAGGGUCUGGGUUUACCAGCAGCACAAAUGAGAAAAAAAUUUAAAAUUUUAACCAUAUUAAGCUAAUUCUGUUUUAAAAAGUCCUGUUUAUUUCUCAAGUAAUUUAUAUAUAUUUGUUUUAAAAUGUUCUGUUUCCUGGUUUAGCCAGCACAUGGCCAACUGGUCACAUGACUUGACUGGUCGCCAUUUUGCUAAAGUUAAAAAAGAAUACUUAAACCGCCAUCUUGACUAAAGAUGACCGCAUGGAAAUUAGAGGUACCAUCUUAAAAACAAGUUUUUCAAUUAAGAUUUAAAAUGUUAAUGCUUCUAUAUAUUACAGAAAGACCUUAAGGGAAUUUAAAUUUCUUUUUAAAACCAGUUUUCAAAUGUUUGUUUUUAUUAAUGUUUGUACUUAAAGAGCUUCAAUUUAGAAUUAUUUCUAAGCAAAGCCUGACAAUGUAAAGUUCUUGUUUUAUAAAAGAUGCUAAUCUGUUACAGUUUGUGUUUUCAGAAGUUAAGUUUAGGAUGUUGAUAGCACACACCUUUAAGCUCAGGGUGUAGAUGACACACGCCUUUAAUCCCACCAUUCGGGAGGAAGAGGCAGAUGGAUCUUUAUGAGUUCAAGGCCUGCCUGGUCCGGCAGAUAGAAUUCUAGAACAGGCUCCAAAGUCACAGAAAAACCCUGCCUCAGAAAGAAGUUAAGCUACUGUUUAAGAAAUAUAAGAUAGCUCUAUAUAGUUUUAAGUUCAGCUGUAUUACAGAAGUAAGACUUUACCUAGCCACCUAUGUGCUUCUUGUAUGCUUAAGGCAAGUAAUUAAAACAGACCUCUAAUGCUUCAGAGAUCUUCAGAAUAUGACAUUUAAAUUGUUAUCUUUAAAGUUUAUAAUGUCAGACAGACCGCCAGAUCCGGACAGUGACCCAAAGUCUCCAAAGAAGAUUACGAGGCACCUCAGUUCCUGCACCUGGACCAGUGAGCGAGAUGCUCAGAUGUGAAACCUGCCGCCUGCCAGGACCUGGCCGAGACUGUGGACAAAGCUGCUGGACACUGGAAAAUUGAUUGCACCCCUUUGCCUAGACAAAACAAGGUCAGUCUUUUCCAUGUCCCUUUUCCACAGAGAAAAAAAAAAACUCUCACAGUAUAGGCCUGGCGAAGAUUGCUGGUCUUUGAGACACCUGCCUCCAGCGGUAAUGGAGAAUCUUGGGUAUGGACUGGCUUCUAACUGGCUUCUGUCACUUUUUAGUAGAUUCGGAUAAAAUAUACCCUUCUCAGAUCUCUGAAAUAUUACUGGUUGUCAGCUUGACAGCAUCAGGCAGUCAGGUCCACUAUAGACUAGUCAGUAUGUUAGCUGAUAAAAUAGUAACUAUCUACUGUUCAGGCACAAGCUCAAAGUUUUUAAGUUUAUUUUGGUUGUCAUCUAAGUACAAACUUAAAGGGCUUUUCAUCAGGCCAAAGGCACCUCUGUCCAAUCCAUACCUGGCUCUCUGGACAGAAGAGAAAUGUACAUGCUUAUAGCCCAAAUCUAUAGUUUUUGCUAGUACUCAAAGUUAUAAAUAUGUUCCUGCUGUUUAAACAGAUAUCCAAAUAUCUGCUUUUUCUGUACUGUGGGCUUCAGUAAAUAAGUUUUAACCUCUGUUCCUAGUUUAAACAUGUCUUAAACAGGUUUCUGCUUCUGGCUGACAUCUGAGUAUCAGUUGCUGACUACAGGCUGUUCUAAGUAGACUGCGAGCCCUGGACUUGCUGUGGAUGUAAACCAGUCCAGCUGAUAUGGACACCCCCUGUCUCUGCAACAGUGUCUUCUAACCAGAAGCCCCUGAUGAAUUCCCCAUUGCCUAAAUUCCUUUUUGCUUUUGACUAGCAUUUCAACCUUCUGGGGUCCCUAACUUCGUCCCAAAGUCAGCAGGAAGCAGUUUGGAAAAGAAUUUCGCCGUCCAUUUUCCCUGGUUAAAAUGCUAAGU